rnacentral:rRNA from 1 species
AUUGAACGCUGGCGGAAUGCUUUACACAUGCAAGUCGAGCGGCAGCGCGGGGGCAACCCUGGCGGCGAGCGGCGAACGGGUGAGUAACACAUCGGAACGUACCCAGUGGUGGGGGAUAGCCCGGCGAAAGCCGGAUUAAUACCGCAUACGACCUGAGGGGGAAAGUGGGGGACCGCAAGGCCUCACGCCGCUGGAGCGGCCGAUGUUCGAUUAGCUAGUUGGUAGGGUAAAGGCCUACCAAGGCGACGAUCGAUAGCUGGUCUGAGAGGACGACCAGCCACACUGGAACUGAGACACGGUCCAGACUCCUACGGGAGGCAGCAGUGGGGAAUUUUGGACAAUGGGGGCAACCCUGAUCCAGCCAUUCCGCGUGAGUGAAGAAGGCCU